UGGCUAAGUUGUAAAGCGCUUGACUUCCAAACUGGGGAUCCUAGGUUCAAAUCCUUG
rnacentral:tRNA from 1 species